rnacentral:rRNA from 2 species
UUGCUUCUCUUGAGAGCGGCGGACGGGUGAGUAAUGCCUAGGAAUCUGCCUGGUAGUGGGGGAUAACGCUCGGAAACGGACGCUAAUACCGCAUACGUCCUACGGGAGAAAGCAGGGGACCUUCGGGCCUUGCGCUAUCAGAUGAGCCUAGGUCGGAUUAGCUAGUUGGUGAGGUAAUGGCUCACCAAGGCGACGAUCCGUAACUGGUCUGAGAGGAUGAUCAGUCACACUGGAACUGAGACACGGUCCAGACUCCUACGGGAGGCAGCAGUGGGGAAUAUUGGACAAUGGGCGAAAGCCUGAUCCAGCCAUGCCGCGUGUGUGAAGAAGGUCUUCGGAUUGUAAAGCACUUUAAGUUGGGAGGAAGGGCAUUAACCUAAUACGUUGGUGUCUUGACGUUACCGACAGAAUAAGCACCGGCUAACUCUGUGCCAGCAGCCGCGGUAAUACAGAGGGUGCAAGCGUUAAUCGGAAUUACUGGGCGUAAAGCGCGCGUAGGUGGUUUGUUAAGUUGGAUGUGAAAUCCCCGGGCUCAACCUGGGAACUGCAUUCAAAACUGACAAGCUAGAGUAUGGUAGAGGGUGGUGGAAUUUCCUGUGUAGCGGUGAAAUGCGUAGAUAUAGGAAGGAACACCAGUGGCGAAGGCGACCACCUGGACUGAUACUGACACU